GGCAGCUUGGAAGAAGCCACUGGCUUGGUCAUCAUAUUUAUUAUCAGUAGAACAGGAGAUAAAGUAAAAGUGUCAGAACUCGUGAAGGAGGUGGCAAAAUUUGAUGACUUCAUGCUCUUGGAUAUCAAAGAGGAGUACAGUUGUCCUUCUUUAAAGCCGCCUAUGCACUUUAUGAUUCUGAAUUCUAUGUCAAAGCUGAUGCCGACAUAUUUUUGAGGCCAGGGUUUUGGAUCUCGAUGUGCAAGACAAGGGCGUCUCCUUCAACUUGCUUGUGUUCAACUCGUAUAUUGAAUGUUUACAUAAUGCGCCAGUCAAAAGAAACUCUCAAAGGGAUGAGUCUAUCUUCUUAUUCUAUGCUUGAACAUUUACAGGAAGGGAAGGAGUUUGUGUUUAAACUCAAUCUGGGUAACCACAAAAUGUGUGGACUUAUUCGAAAUUAUGUUGUUGCCUUCACUUUUACGUCAGAUUUUAACUUGAAAA